CCUACGGGAGGCAGCAGUGAGGAAUAUUGGUCAAUGGCCGCAGGGCUGAACCAGCCAAGUCGCGUGAGGGAUGACGGUCCUAUGGAUUGUAAACCUCUUUUGUCGGGGAGCAAAGAGAGUCACGUGUGACUCAUUGAGAGUACCCGAAGAAAAAGCAUCGGCUAACUCCGUGCCAGCAGCCGCGGUAAUACGGAGGAUGCGAGCGUUAUCCGGAUUUAUUGGGGUUAAAGGGUGCGCAGGGGGCCUGUUAAGUCAGCGGGAAAAGGCCGGGGCUCAACCCCGGCGGGCCGUUGAAACUGGCGGGGCUGAGUGUGAGGGAAGGAAGGGGAAUGGGGGGGGUAGCGGUGAA
rnacentral:rRNA from 1 species